GGAUGAACGCUAGCUACAGGCUUAACACAUGCAAGUCGAGGGGCAGCAUGGUCUUAGCUUGCUAAGGCUGAUGGCGACCGGCGCACGGGUGAGUAACACGUAUCCAACCUGCCGUCUACUCUUGGCCAGCCUUCUGAAAGGAAGAUUAAUCCAGGAUGGGAUCAUGAGUUCACAUGUCCGCAUGAUUAAAGGUAUUUUCCGGUAGACGAUGGGGAUGCGUUCCAUUAGAUAGUAGGCGGGGUAACGGCCCACCUAGUCAACGAUGGAUAGGGGUUCUGAGAGGAAGGUCCCCCACAUUGGAACUGAGACACGGUCCAAACUCCUACGGGAGGCAGCAGUGAGGAAUAUUGGUCAAUGGGCGAUGGCCCGAACCAGCCAAGUAGCGUGAAGGAUGACUGCCCUAUGGGUUGUAAACUUCUUUUAUAAAGGAAUAAAGUCGGGUAUGCAUACCCGUUUGCAUGUACUUUAUGAAUAAGGAUCGGCUAACUCCGUGCCAGCAGCCGCGGUAAU
rnacentral:rRNA from 1 species